rnacentral:rRNA from 1 species
UACGUAGGGUGCAAGCGUUGUCCGGAAUUAUUGGGCGUAAAGAGCUCGUAGGCGGUUUGUCGCGUCUGCUGUGAAAACUCGGGGCUUAACUCCGGGCCUGCAGUGGGUACGGGCAGACUAGAGUGCGGUAGGGGAGACUGGAAUUCCUGGUGUAGCGGUGGAAUGCGCAGAUAUCAGGAGGAACACCAGUGGCGAAGGCGGCUCACUGGCCCGAUACUGACGCUGAGGCACGAAAGCGUGGGGAGCAAACAGG